UGAAAGCUUGCUUUCAAAAUAACUUAGCGGCGGACGGGUGAGUAACACGUAGGCAACCUGCCCUUCAGACUGGGAUAACUACCGGAAACGGUAGCUAAUACCGGAUAAUUUCUUUUUUCUCCUGAGAGAAGAAUGAAAGACGGAGCAAUCUGUCACUGAGGGAUGGGCCUGCGGCGCAUUAGCUAGUUGGUGGGGUAACGGCCCACCAAGGCGACGAUGCGUAGCCGACCUGAGAGGGUGAACGGCCACACUGGGACUGAGACACGGCCCAGACUCCUACGGGAGGCAGCAGUAGGGAAUCUUCCGCAAUGGGCGAAAGCCUGACGGAGCAACGCCGCGUGAGUGAUGAAGGUUUUCGGAUCGUAAAGCUCUGUUGCCAGGGAAGAACGUCCGGUAGAGUAACUGCUAUCGGAGUGACGGUACCUGAGAAGAAAGCCCCGGCUAACUACGUGCCAGCAGCCGCGGUAAUACGUAGGGGGCAAGCGUUGUCCGGAAUUAUUGGGCGUAAAGCGCGCGCAGGCGGCUAUUUAAGUCUGGUGUUUAAACCUUGGGCUCAACCUGAGGUCGCACUGGAAACUGGGUGGCUUGAGUACAGAAGAGGAAAGUGGAAUUCCACGUGUAGCGGUGAAAUGC
rnacentral:rRNA from 1 species